rnacentral:rRNA from 1 species
GUCCACGCCCUAAACGUUGAUUACUCGUUGUUGGCGAUAUACAGUCAGCGACCAAGCUAAAGCGUUAAGUAAUCCACCUGGGAAGUACGACCGCAAGGUUGAAACUCAAAGGAAUUGACGGGGGCCCCGCACAAGCGGAGGAGCAUGUGGUUUAAUUCGAUGAUACGCGAGGAACCUUACCUGGGCUUGAAAGUUAGUGUCGUUCUGUGAAAGCAGAAUUCUCUUCGGAGCACAAAACUAGGUGCUGCAUGGCUGUCGU